UACGUAGGGCGCAAGCGUUGUCCGGAAUUAUUGGGCGUAAAGGGUGCGUAGGUGGUGCUGUAAGUCAGGUGUGAAAUCUCGGGGCUCAACCCCGAAACUGCACUUGAUACUGCGGUGCUCGAGGACUGGAGAGGAGAUCGGAAUUCAUGGUGUAGCAGUGAAAUGCGUAGAUAUCAUGAGGAAGACCAGUGGCGAAGGCGGAUCUCUGGACAGUUCCUGACACUGAGGCACGAAGGCCAGGGGAGCAAACGGG
rnacentral:rRNA from 1 species